rnacentral:rRNA from 1 species
GGGAUUGCCCUAGUAACGGCGAGUGAAGCGGCAACAGCUCAAAUUUGAAAUCUGGCCCUCGUGGUCCGAAUUGUAAUUUGUAGAGGAUGCUUUUGGUGCGGUGCCUUCUGAGUUCCCUGGAACGGGACGCCAGAGAGGGUGAGAGCCCCGUACGGUUGGACACCUAUCCUAUAUAUAGCUCCUUCGACGAGUCGAGUAGUUUGGGAAUGCUGCUCUAAAUGGGAGGUAAAUUUCUUCUAAAGCUAAAUACCGGCCAGAGACCGAUAGCGCACAAGUAGAGUGAUCGAAAGAUGAAAAGCACUUUGAAAAGAGGGUUAAAUAGCACGUGAAAUUGUUGAAAGGGAAGCGUUUGCGACCAGACCUUUUCCUGGCGGAUCAUCCGGUGUUCUCACCGGUGCACUUCGCUUGGUUUAGGCCAGCAUCGGUUUUCUUAGGGGGAUAAAGGCCUGGGGCACGUAGCUCUUCCGGGAGUGUUAUAGCCCCUAGCGUAAUGCCCUUACGGGGACCGAGGACCGCGCUUCGGCAAGGAUGCUGGCGUAAUGGUCGUCAACGACCCGUCUUGAAACACGGACCAAGGAGUCGAACAUUUGUGCGAGUGUUUGGGUGUUAAACCCUCACGCGUAAUGAAAGUGAACGGAGGUGAGAGCCCUUCGGGGUGCAUCAUCGACCGAUCCUGAUGUCUUCGGAUGGAUUUGAGUAAGAGCAUAACUGUUCGGACCCGAAAGAUGGUGAACUAUGCGUGGAUAGGGUGAAGCCAGAGGAAACUCUGGUGGAGGCUCGCAGCGGUUCUGACGUGCAAAUCGAUCGUCAAAUCUGCGCAUGGGGGCGAAAGACUAUCGACCCAUCUAGUGGG